UACGUAGGUGGCAAGCGUUGUCCGGAUUUACUGGGCGUAAAGAGCGCGCAGGCGGUCGUUCAAGUCGCGUGUGAAAGCCCCCGGCUCAACUGGGGAGGGUCACGCGAUACUGAUCGACUGGAAGGCAGGAGAGGGUAGUGGAAUUCCUGGUGUAGCGGUGAAAUGCGUAGAUAUCUGGAGGAACACCGGUGGCGAAGGCGGCAUCCUGGACCGAAACUGACACUGAGGCGCGAAAGCUAGGGGAGCGAAGCGGAGUAACGAAACCGAGUACGUC
rnacentral:rRNA from 1 species